UUUGCAUUGCCGGAGCUCUCUGUGGUAGGCCACGUCCCCGCCUCACAUGAAAGGACAAAUCAGAAGGUACCUAUUACACGUCUGUGAGGAGAGAAACAAAGGCGCACAAUGCUGACACCCUCCUACUAACUUGGAUUUUAAUGAGCACCAGCCAAUCAGGACUCUUGUUCCCUUGGUGCGGGCAUUUACAAUGUCAUUUCCGAAACACCUCUUUUUGGAGCCUGUUUGUCAACUGGUAGAAAAAAAUAGGAUAGAAGCACCUUCUACUGCUGGACCAGACGGGGCAGAAAAAUAUGUCACUUGCAAACUGAAGUGUCUCUGGGCAUAAAUGUAACAGUCACUUAAGCUCAAUCAAUUAAAGCACCUGUCUUGGUACUGUUUAUCUGGAGGUCAAAUUUGAAAAGGCAGCAGCUGGCAAAAAAAAAUGUUCAUGGACAGAUGUGUAUAAUUUGUUUAACCGCCUCCCCCCCCCAUUUUUUCCUCGUAGCCAAUACUUGACUGAAUUGUGAGGCUUAGGACCAUCAAUUUCUCAGUUGUUUGAGAUGUAGAAAACUGGAAUGGAGGUCAAGUUAUAACUGGUUUGUCCCUCCUCUCCUUAUAAUCUAAAUUUUGGCAUGGUUAUUUUGUUUGAGUUAUUUGCCAUGUGUUACUUUAAUCUCCCUGUGGUGUGUCAGUUUUGUACCCUUCUUAUUCAGAUAAAUGUUUCCACUAAACUGGUGAGCAU